rnacentral:miRNA from 1 species
UUUUAUGACCAAUUUGUGCAGAAAUCCAUAUCAUUCCAAGGGGUUCACAUAAUUUUUCUUGCAACUGUAUAUAUACACAGUUGCAAGAAAAAUUAUGUGAACCCCUUGGAAUGAUAUGGAUUUCUGCACAAAUUGGUCAUAAAAUG